rnacentral:sRNA from 1 species
CCACACACUGAUAGACAGACACAUGCAAACUUUGAACCGAAAAACUUGCCGCAAAAAGUUUUUAAGUAAACGGAGAGGAGGAAGCCGCAAAGGGCGUGUGAAAAGUUUUCCUGCCUGCCUGCCUGCUGGCAAUUUAUGCAGCAACCGGGGUAGGCCAGGCCAAGGAAAUCAAAGACGAAUCGAGUUUCAUUCUCCAGUUUCUGACUUCUACUCACCAAAUCAAAAUCGUUUCGGUUGUGCCACAUUAUAUAUUUUUCCAAACACAACUAAAACACAUCCUGAUUAUGGCAGACAAAAAGGAUGACACUGGAAGCCAUGUGGAGGGAUGUCCUUGUCUCUUGAAAGGCAAGUGCACUUGCAAGGCCCCCAAGAAGGACAGGGUGGUCUUGAAUCCCUAAGAGUACGAUCGCUUGAUGGCCACCAAUGAGGGUCUUGCCAAUUUGAAGAGAAUGAUGCGGCUGGAAGCCGGUCUAGGUGAACCCGACGAUGUAAUCAUCAUCGAGGGCUCCGAUCUUGAAUACUAAACUAUAUGCUGCGAAACCCAAGACACACCACAAAUAGUAUAUGAUCUUCUACCUUUAAUAAUAGUUUUUACAAUGAAAUACUGGUACCUCGAUUACUAAACAAGUUGCUGCCAAAAACACGAUAAAUAGGAAUGAAGUGCUUCAAAAUUUUCAAGUUCAAAGCACACCACGAGUAGGUAUUGAUCUUCUGCCUUCAAAAAUACUUUUUACAAUGAAAGACUGGUAACUCUAUUUCUAAACUACUUACUGCCAUAAAGAUGAAUAGGAAUCGGUGUAUCCUUUAUCUUAAAACACUGUAUCUACAGUGAAACACAAGUAUCCGGUUCUUGCAAGCUCACGAUGAAUAGCUAUGGAUCUUCCGCCUUCAAAAACUGUUUCUAUAUGGAGACACUAGUAUACAUACUAUAUUUUGUAAGCAUGUUUUGGACUGCUGCUUGAAAAUAAAGCUCUUGUGACAAAGGAGAAAGACUACACUA